GAUGAACGCUGGCGGCGUGCCUAAUACAUGCAAGUCGAGCGAACGGACGAUAAGCUUGCUUCUCUGAUGUUAGCGGCGGACGGGUGAGUAACACGUGGAUAACCUACCUAUAAGACUGGGAUAACUUCGGGAAACCGGAGCUAAUACCGGAUAAUAUUUUGAACCGCAUGGUUCAAAAGUGAAAGACGGUCUUGCUGUCACUUAUAGAUGGAUCCGCGCUGCAUUAGCUAGUUGGUAAGGUACCGGCUUACCAAGGCAACGAUGCAUAGCCGACCUGAGCGGGUGAUGGGCCACACUGGAACUGAGACACGGUCCAGACUCCUACGGGAGGGAGCAGUAGGGAAUCUUCCGCAAUGGGCGAAAGCCUGACGGAGCAACGCCGCGUGAGUGAUGAAGGUCUUCGGAUCGUAAAACUCUGUUAUUAGGGAAGAACAUAUGUGUAAGUAACUGUGCACAUCUUGACGGUACCUAAUCAGAAAGCCACGGCUAACUACGUG
rnacentral:rRNA from 1 species